AUGGCCGCCGCCGUUGCAUUUGCCCACCUUCUCCUUUUCCUCGUCUUGGUGUCCCCUGCGGCCUGCUAUUCUGCUAGUCCACCGUAUCGCUGCGACUGGUGCCCUCGGCGGUCCACCGCCUCCCUCCUGCCUCCCGACGCCGCCGACGCCACCCUCACCGGCGCCGCGUGCGGGUACGGUGGCCUGGCGGCGGCGGCUGACCUUGCCGACGGGGGAUUCCACAUUGCGGCCGUGAGUGCUGGAUUCUUCCGCCGCGGCCGGGCCUGCAGCGCAUGCUACCAGCUGAGGUGCAGGGGCCGGAGCGCGUGCGCGAAGGACGGCGUCAAGGUCGUCGUCGUCGCCGACGUGCCGGAGACGAACAGCACAGGCAGGGGCGGGCGGUUCAUGCUCAACAAGGAAGCCUUCGCCGCCUUGACUACUGCUCGUGGCGGUGGUCAGCUCGCGAGCUUGGUGGACGCGGCAGUCGACGUCGACUUCAGGAAGAUACCUUGCGCCUACAAAGGCAAGAACCUGGCGGUGAGGGUGGAGGAGACGAGCAGCAGGGACAAGGGCCACCUCGCCGUCAGGUUCCUCUACCAGGGCGGCCAGACCGACAUCGUCGCCGUCGAGGUGGCGCGGGCGGAAAUUCCUGGUGCCACGAUCCAGAGUGCCACCGCGCCGUCGCCGGCAACAUGGCAGUACAUGACGCGGCGCGAGGGGUCGCCGGGGGUGUGGCACACGUCGCGCGUGCCAGCCGGCCCGCUGCGGCUCCGGCUCGUCGUGACCGCAGGCUCCGGCGGCAAGUGGCUUCGAACCGAGGGUGUAGUGCUCCCCGCGGAGUGGCAGGCCGGCGCGGUCUACGACACUGGGCUGCGCGUCACCGACGUCGCCGCAAGCACCUGCGGCGGCGCCUCCUGCUCCGCCUCCGGAGACGAUGACGAGGAGGAGUAG
rnacentral:rRNA from 1 species